rnacentral:rRNA from 1 species
CCUACGGCGGCAGCAGUGGGGAAUAUUGGACAAUGGGCGAAAGCCUGAUCCAGCCAUGCCGCGUGUGUGAAGAAGGCCUUCGGGUUGUAAAGCACUUUCAGUGGGGAAGAAAGCCUUGGGGCUAAUACCCUCGAGGAAGGACAUCACCCACAGAAGAAGCACCGGCUAACUCCGUGCCAGCAGCCGCGGUAAUACGGAGGGUGCGAGCGUUAAUCGGAAUUACUGGGCGUAAAGCGCGCGUAGGCGGUCUGAUAAGCCGGUUGUGAAAGCCCCGGGCUCAACCUGGGAACGGCAUCCGGAACUGUCAGGCUAGAGUGCAGGAGAGGAAGGUAGAAUUCCCGGUGUAGCGGUGAAAUGCGUAGAGAUCGGGAAGAAUACCAGUGGCGAAGGCGGCCUUCUGGACUGACACUGACGCUGAGGUGCGAAAGCGUGGGUAGCAAACAGGAUUAGAUACCCGAAUAGUC